rnacentral:lncRNA from 1 species
AAACUAAACUCAUCCAAACAAAACCCACUCAGGAGAUUCAGAUUGCACAUUAACUGGUCCAAAAUUUGAUCUGCUAUGUGAUAGAAUCAGCAUCUAAGAACUGACCCCCUCCUCUGUGUCUUUCUCUCCUGAGAAGAGCUUUUUAAACAGUGGAUAGUUCUUUGAUCUCCUGGCUUCUUGUAGUUAAUCACACCAAGGUUAUUCAGCAACUUCACCUCCCUAACCAGUUUGCAUCUCAGGAAACAUGCUGAGCUCUCAGCCUUCAUCCCCAUCAAUCAUGCAAGAAUCACCUACUUACAGCAGACAGGGAGUAGAUGAGGACCUUCAUCUCCCAAAAAGGAUCUAACUUUAUGAAUGGAAUGCUACAUCUCAUGUUUUUGGCAUUAAGGGAAAUGCUAAAUGUUUUCAGCCUCAAGCUUUGUUAUCCCAAAGUUGUUUGCAAACCAGCAAAAUGCGAUCUCUUGGAAAAAAAGUUGUAAAUUGUAGGAUAGGAGAAACAGAGAUAGAAAUGUGUGAGCUAGCUCAAAUCUAAGAGUAACAAAUGGGGACAUACUGGCAUCUUUAGGUACUCUAAAUACCUUUACAACAGCAUCCAAAUUGCCACAGAAAUUAUGUAUAUGCAUAUAAGGGUUAAGUCAAACAGUGGUUAUAUUGCAGAACCAUUUUUUCAGGGAAUUUUAACCUAGGUGUGGAGGACGUAAAUUCUGUUCAAAGUUACUAUUUGAUAACCACAAUGAAUCAGAUUUUUGAAAAAUUGACUGAAAUAUACUCAACUUUUUUUCAGUACUGCAUAGAAAUAUGCUUGUCCAUACUAUGUAGACGGUAUGAACAGAACUACUGCUGUAUAUUAUGAGUGCUCCCAUCUUUCCCUUUCAUUUACAUUUCCACUUCCCUUUUCUUUUCUCUCACCUUUUCUCUUUGUUUUCCUUUCCCUUCCCUUCCCCCUUUCCCCUUCCCUCUCCCUUUUCCUUUCCCUCUCCUUUUCCCUUUCACUUUCUCUUUCCCGUUCUGUUUUCCUUUUCCUUUCCUUUUCUCUUUCCCUUUCGUUUUCCCUGUUGUAGUCUUUCAUACAGUUCCAUAGGCCCUUAUUUGCACUUUUAGACUUCAAAAUAGCUCACGUUGCAUCAGCAGAGAUUUAGACUGGAUAUUAGAAUGUCCUUGGAGGUAUUCAAGAAACACAUGGACGUGGCACCAAGGGACGUGGUUUGGUGACAUGUCAGAUUGAUAGUUGGAGUUGAUGAUCUUGAAGCUCUUUUCCAACCUACAUGAUUCUAUGAUUCAGUUCAAUACCCCAAACGCAUGUGAGUUUCUUCAUUUUUAUCUCAACUACUUUCUACUUAAUUGUCUACAGGAAAGUAAUUCACAAAAUAAUUGUGCAUUUGAUUUGGGGAAAGGGAAAAAACUUGCAUACUUGUUUUCAUACUCCAUUAAAAUAAUAAUAAAUUAAUGAACGGAUGUUCUUUUUUUGUUUUGUUUCCAAAUAAAGACUGGUGAUACUG